AGUGGUAACUUCGAAGAAUAACCAUCGCAUAUACAAACCUAAGCAACCCUGUGUGAAACACGUGGCGAGUGAAUCAAGACAAUGAGGAACGCCUGGCCAACAUAAACUCCUUCGCCCAGAGAUAUUGCAAAGCAUUCAGACACUGCAGCCUAAUCUAGAAAUCAACUCCAAAAGAAAAUCAAAAAAAAACUACAGGCACUGAAGACCUGAAAUAAAAAUUUCCAAAAAUACUCAACUAGACAAAAUACACAAGUAGACAGAAAAGUCAAGUUGACAUCGAAGAAUGAAGAUCCUUGACCGGAAUGCAAGAUAUUGGAAAACAUUCAGGCACUGCAGCCUAAUCUAGAAAUCAACUACAAAAGAAAAUCAAAAAACUACAGGCACUGAAGACUUGAAAUAAUAAAUUUUCAGAAAUACUCAGCUAGACAUGCAGCACAAGUAGACUGAAAAGUCAAGUUAACGUCCAAGGUUGAAGAUCCUUGACCAGAAUGCAGUAAGUUUUGACCAUCAUUGGAAGAUGAAGAGGACAUUUGACUUAAAAUGGCAGCUCUGUUUCUCUGCCGUCUGAUACUGUCUGACCAGGUGAACAUUUGCAGCAUGUCCUGGCUUAAAGUUAACUCAAUUUGGAAUAAUUAAUUUAAAAAGAGAAAUUAAGCCUGGAAAAUGCACAAUACAGUGAAGCCACAGUCAUCUGCUUGCCCUAACCAUCUAACCAACUUUGCCUGCAUCCACUAAAGCCUGUUCCACCAGCCUGAAUGCCUGACAAUAGUUUUGCUGGAAAGGCAGCAGACUUAGGACAAAGCCCUUAUGACACAUGGUAUUCUACUGCCCUGCCCUUCAUACAAAGAGAACUGUCACCAUCAUUUAAAGAAAAUGUUUUAAUUAACACGAUUAUCAUUAAACUGAACUUCCUUGUUCUUCUUUGGAA